rnacentral:misc_RNA from 1 species
AAACUUUGAAUAUAUUCAACCAAAUCUAUAUUGUUAGGAUCAUAGGAUGUUACAGGGGUUCAUGAACCAACAAAAGAUAAAUCUACAGAGACAACCAGAGCUUUCAGGAACCCAAAAAUCUAUCAAAAAGAAACAUCGAGAGCAAACUUGACCAAAAAAAGAAAGAGAAAAAAAAAGGAGAUAACGAUCAACAAAUUGCAUUAAUUCAUACACCUAGCAAGAAAGAAGCUAAACACAUUAAUUGCUAGAACACACACAUAUAUAUCUUUGAUUAACCUCUUUUAUAUGAGAUAGUUGAAGAUCAAAACCAACAGAGAGGAAUUUAAACCACAGUAACUAUUGUUUCAAGAAUGUCUAGUAAGAGAGCAGAGAAUUUGUGAAAUCUUCAUUUUCCUAAAAGACUUAUAUCAGGUUGACAUAUGAGAAACAUGUCCCAGAAAUGACAUUUGGAAUACAGCAACAGGUAUAAAUGAUAUACAUUGCAUGUGCAAUGUAUCAACCUCAUCCAUCUGGGGAUCAAAUUUUAGGAGUUCCAGUAGAUCUUAAGACUUGAUGCUGUUCAAAGACUAAAUUUCAGAACGGCAUCAACACUAAAUUUCAUAUGCUGUUUAGAAAAAAAUCACUAAGAUUAACUUUGCACACUUGCAUGUCUGAACUAAAUUAUCAGCUUCAUUUAGCUUGUAAACUUGUAUCCUUUCAAAACAUAUAAUAAAUCUCAAAGAGAUGUACAUACUAAUAGCAAUAGGCAGUUAGGCAAACUUAUCAGGUAUAGUCCUUUUGUAAGGAAAGGAAACACGUUUAAGCAGCUGGAAACAGCUUUUCACUAAUUGAAUAAACCCACAAGGCAUAAGAAAUGACAAGCAACAUUGCUACAUUUGAAAUCGAUUCUACGACCAAGAAAAUAAAAGCCAUCAAGAGUCUCAUAUCCUCCAUAUAAAUCCAAAAUUCAAUAAUCAGACCAUGUAUCACUAAAUUUUAUGAAAUUGCUAACAAGAUCCAAUCUCAAUCCUUUCGAAACCCCACCCUCACCACAGUAAAUUUACACAGAUUGGAAAAACUGCGGCUCAAGAAAAUAGAGUCAAACAAACAAAAAG